UUCGCAGUGGCCAGUACAAUUUUACCAUGGAUAGCCUAUUAUAUCGCGAACUGGAGAUAUUUUACUUACGUUACUGCCAUACCGCUGUUAUCUGUCGCUAUCACACCGUGGAUUCUUCCCGAGAGCGCCCGCUGGUACGUUUCCAACGGGAUGAUGGACAAGGUUGUUGAGAAACUACGGAGAACAGCUAGGAUCAAUCGCAGAAAUCCAGACUCGCGUAUUUGCAAUAUAUUCGUCAGUAACAUGGAGGCACCGGACAAAAUUCAAGAAUCAGCGACGCUGCUCGAUCUGUUCAAAACGCCACGGUUGGCGAGAAACACUAUUCUUCUAGUUGCAUUCUGACAAGUAUAAGAUACGAGUUCAUGUUGCGAGAAAACCUUCAUAAAUAACCGAUACAAUCUUGUAGGUGUUUCACCCUGAUCUCGUUCGACGGUCACGUGUAUUCAUUAAAACUUAUCCAGAGCUCGGUGUUCGUGUCGUUCUUGAUCGCCUGUGCCACAGAACUUCCAGCUGGGUUAUUACUCGCCCUGUUGCUCGACCGAUGGGGUCGUAGACUCUGCGGAUUUCUCACGAUGGCAAUGACCUGUGUGCUCAGUAUCGCUGAACUUAUGCUGCAUUCCAUGCUCGCGAAAUUAGUAAUGUCAAUAUUGUCGCGAUUCUGUCUGAACAUGGCAGCCAAUGUUGGUCUUCAGUAUGCAGCAGAACUUCUGCCCACGCCAGUCAGAUCGCAGGGCGUAUCUUUCAUUCAUAUUUUCGGAAUAGUUGCACACUCUUUGGCGCCAUAUAUCACUGACUCGGCUGCAAUUUGGGAGGGAUUUCCAAUGCUCAUUAUCAGCACGGUGUCCUUUUUUUGGCGCUGCACUGGUUUUGUUCCUGCCGGAAACUGUCGGCCAGAAUCUUCCUCAGACUAUCAAGCAAGGCGAAGAAUUCGGAAGGGACCAACAUUUCUGGUCGUUGCCUUGCUACCAUAAGACACACUUCAAUGGACAUCAACACUAUCACUCCUGUGAACGAUAAUUAUCUGAUUUUUAAUAAUAAUUCAAUUAAAAAACACGAAGGAGGAUUCGUGUUUUUUUAGAAGUAACAAUAUUACAAGCGGAUCAGUCUGACGAUUUUUGUACGAGAAAAAAUCGGAACAUAUUAUUUUUCUAUUCUCCUACAUUAAUUUUUAUUUUUAUCGUUUACGUUUAAGAAUUUGUAAGCCUUAAUUCUAAAAAGAGCGAGCUUAGAAAUCGUGUUCCUAUAUAAUUUUUAUUAUUAUCUUUUAAGAGCUUUUAUAAUUUUAAUGCUAAUUUUCACUUGCGUUACGCACGUUCGAAUCGUUCAGCGGUUGGUGCUAAUUUGAUAUUCAAAGAUAUUACGUAGAAUAAUAUCGAAAAUGUUACGUAAAUUAAUAAUUACGUAAUUUAUUAAGUACGUAAAUAAUAAAUUAGGGAGAUUUAAAUUUUUGAUUCCUUUAAUGUUUUUAACAUUUUUCACUGGAAUAUAUUGGACAAAAUCUUAUUUAAAAAAAUAGUACGUUUAGAUAAUUUGUCUUUGUGAAAAGAAACAGUUUUAUAUCUUUUGAACGAUUAUCCACGUAUUUUUAACGAUUAUUUAUCUAUUCGCUAUUUUUUUUGUACGAUUUUAAAUAACGUACAAUAUUAAUAAAAUCCAAGCUUGAAGACUUUUUAAAUUAUAGUUAUAAUUUCUUCAGCACCAACUGCUGGACUUUUAUUUAUCUAAAACGAGUUGUGCGUACAUUUAAAAAAAAAUAACUCUAAUUGACUGUUUCUAUGGUUUAGGAAGAAGAAAAAAAGAAAGGAAAGAAUAUUGUAAGCAAAUCGUGCCAUCGUAUGACGAUCAGUGUUCGUCGUUGUGCCAAUAACAACGCAAUCAAUCUGAAGAAACCUAUUCAUAGUAUUCAUAAUCAUCACUCACGUAUACAUACGCGUAUACACUCACGUCCAUAAGAUUGAUUCACCGAAUAAAACUUCCAUAAACCUUAAUAUAAGAAACAAUUCUACUUUUUAUUUGCACACACAUCGACGAAUCCCCCGAACAAAAAUAAACUGCUAAAUAUCUCUAUAAUUAAAUACAUUAAUGCUCGAUGAUCCUCGUUCAUCAUUAUACGUCUAAUCUAACUCCAUCCUAUAAUUAGGAGUUCUACGAUAACGAUCACUUAUGUUACAAUGUAUUAACCCUUAACAGCCGAACUUAAUUAUAAUUAAUUGUAGAAAAUGAAAUGCUUCAUUAUACGGAUAUUUGAAGUAAUAUUCUGUAUUAUACAGGGUGUCUGGUAAUUGAUACUGUGAUAACCAGUGGUUAGUUAAUGUGGUUAAUAACCAGUGGUUAGUUAAUGUGGUUAAUAACCAGUGGUACAGGAUAAUACUAUGUGAAAGGAUCUGUUGAAAAUAUAGAACGAGAGAUUUUCGUACGACGUUCGAGAGAAUGAAAUUCUGAAGCUUUGUCAACUCGUGUUCACACGACAUUCACGAAACAUAUUCAAAAUUUAUUUUCUCGAAAAUACGAAGAAUCAUCAGUUACGAAACACUCUGUACUAUAUCACAUUAUUAUAUCACUAUCGUAUUGAUAAGAAAUGUCGAUAUUAUAACUCCUUAAGACUCCCUUAAUAUUUAUUUGCGAUUCAGCUUAAUAUGUAUUGGCCCUGUGUAGUUUCAAGAUUAAAAAUAUAAAAGAAUUCAUUCCUGAUUA